GAUGAACGCUGGCGGCGUGCCUAAUACAUGCAAGUCGAGCGAACAGACGAGGAGCUUGCUCCUCUGACGUUAGCGGCGGACGGGUGAGUAACACGUGGAUAACCUACCUAUCAGACUGGGAUAACUUCGGGAAACCGGCGCUAAUACCGGAUAAUAUAUUGAACCGCAUGGUUCAAUAGUGAAAGACGGUUUUGCUGUCACUUCUAGAUGGAUCCGCGCCGCAUUAGCUAGUUGGUAAGGUAACGGCUUACCAAGGCGACGAUGCGUAGCCGACCUGAGAGGGUGAUCGGCGACACUGGAACUGAGACACGGUCCAGACGCCUACGGGAGGCAGCAGUAGGGAAUCUUCCGCAAUGGGCGAAAGCCUGACGGAGCAACGCCGCGUGAGUGAUGAAGGUCUUCGGAUCGUAAAAAUCUGUUAUUAGGGAAGAACAAAUGUGUAAGUAACUAUGCACGUCUUGACGGUACCUAAUCAGAAAGCCACGGCUAACUACGUG
rnacentral:rRNA from 1 species